rnacentral:rRNA from 1 species
UACGUAGGGUGCAAGCGUUGUCCGGAAUUAUUGGGCGUAAAGAGCUCGUAGGCGGUCUGUUGCGUCGGCUGUGAAAACCCGGGGCUCAACCCCGGGCCUGCAGCCGAUACGGGCAGACUAGAGUUCGGCAGGGGAGACUGGAAUUCCUGGUGUAGCGGUGAAAUGCGCAGAUAUCAGGAGGAACACCAAUGGCGAAGGCAGCUCGCUGGAACGGUACUGACGCUGAGGCGCGAAAGCGUGGGGAGCAAACAGG